rnacentral:rRNA from 1 species
CGUGUAGGCGGCUUCUUAAGUCUGAUGUGAAAGCCCGGGGCUUACCCCCGGAAGGGCAUUGGAAACUGGGAGGCUAGAGUACCGGAGAGGAAGGUGGAAUUCCUGGUGUAGCGGUGAAAUGCGUAGAUAUCAGGAGGAACACCGGUGGCGAAGGCGGCCUUCUGGACGGAUACUGACGCUGAGACGCGAAAGCGUGGGGAGCAAACAGGAUUAGAUACCCUGGUAGUCCACGCCGUAAACGAUGGGCACUAGGUGUUCGGGGUAUUGACCCCCUGAGUGCCGCAGCUAACGCAUUAAGUGCCCCGCCUGGGGACUACGGCCGCAAGGUUAAA